GAUGAAGAACGCAGCGAAAUGCGAUAAGUAGUGUGAAUUGCAGACUUUAGUGAAUCAUCGAAUCUUUGAACGCACAUUGCGCCCCCCAGUAUUCUGGCGGGCAUGCCUGUUCGAGCGUCAUUUCAACCAUCAAGCCCUGCUUGUGUUGGGGUCCUGCGGCUGCCCGCAGGCCCUGAAAACCAGUGGCGGGCUCGCUAGUCACACCGAGCGCAGUAGCACAUCUCGCUCAGGGCGUGCGGCGGGCUCCAGCCGUUAAAGCACCCACCUUUCGCAAGGUUGACCUCGGAUCAGGUAGGAAUACCCGCUGAACUUAAGCAUAUCAAUAAGCGGAGGA
rnacentral:misc_RNA from 1 species